rnacentral:rRNA from 1 species
AUUGAACGCUAGCGGGAUGCUUUACACAUGCAAGUCGAACGAGAGGCGGACGGGUGAGUAAUAAAUCGGAAUGUGACCAGUAGCGGGGGAUAACUAAUCGAAAGUGUGGCUAAUACCGCAUACUUUUGGAGCGGCCGAUAUCGGAUUAGCUAGUUGGUGGGGUAAAGGAUCACAAAGGCGACGAUCCGUAGCUGGUUUGUGAGGACGACCAGCCACACUGGGACUGAGACACGGCCCAGACUCCUACGGGAGGCAGCAGUGGGGAAUAUUGGACAAUGGGGGAAACCCUGAUCCAGCCAUGCCGCGUGUAUGAGAAGGCCUUCGGGUUGUAAAGUACUUUAGGCAGAGAAGCGGUAUCUGCAGAAUAAGCACCGGCUAACUACGUGCCAGCAGCCGCGGUAAUAC